rnacentral:rRNA from 1 species
AUGAAGAACGUAGCGAAAUGCGAUACUUGGUGUGAAUUGCAGAAUCCCGUGAACCAUCGAGUCUUUGAACGCAAGUUGCGCCCGAAGCCAUUAGGCCGAGGGCACGCCUGCAUGGGCGUCACGC